CAGUCGCCGCGGUAAUACGUAGGUCCCGAGCGUUGUCCGGAUUUAUUGGGCGUAAAGCGAGCGCAGGCGGUUAGAUAAGUCUGAAGUUAAAGGCUGUGGCUUAACCAUAGUACGCUUUGGAAACUGUUUAACUUGAGUGCUAGAGGGGAGAGUGGAAUUCCAUGUGUAGCGGUGAAAUGCGUAGAUAUAUGGAGGAACACCGGUGGCGAAAGCGGCUCUCUGGCUUGUAACUGACGCUGAGGCUCGAAAGCGUGGGGAGCAAACAGGAUUAGAUACCCGGGUAGUCCCUGUCUCUUAUACA
rnacentral:rRNA from 1 species